rnacentral:rRNA from 1 species
AUUGAACGCUGGCGGAAUGCUUUACACAUGCAAGUCGAGCGGCAGCGCGGGGGCAACCCUGGCGGCGAGCGGCGAACGGGUGAGUAACAUAUCGGAACGUACCCUGUCGUGGGGGAUAACUAUCCGAAAGGAUAGCUAAUACCGCAUACGACCUGAGGGUGAAAGCGGGGGACCGCAAGGCCUCGCGCGAUAGGAGCGGCCGAUAUCGGAUUAGCUAGUUGGUGAGGUAAAGGCUCACUAAGGCGACGAUCCGUAGCGGGUCUGAGAGGACGACCCGCCACACUGGAACUGAGACACGGUCCAGACUCCUACGGGAGGCAGCAGUGGGGAAUUUUGGACAAUGGGGGCAACCCUGAUCCAGCCAUUCCGCGUGAGUGAAGAAGGCCUCGGUUGUAAGUACGUCUGUGGUAGGAGGACGAAGUAAGUACGUAG